GACGAACGCUGGCGGCGUGCUUAACACAUGCAAGUCGUACGGUAAGGCCCUUUCUUGGGUACACGAGUGGCGAACGGGUGAGUAACACGUGAGUAACCUGCCCACAACUUUGGGAUAACGCUAGGAAACUGGUGCUAAUACUGGAUAUGUGCUCCUGCUGCAUGGUGGGGGUUGGAAGGCUCCGGCGGUUGGGGGUGGACUCGCGGCCUUUCUGGUUGUUGGUGGGGUGGUGGGCUACCAACGCGGCGGCGGGUAGCCGGCCUGAGGGGGUGAACGGCCAAAUUGGGAAUGGGAUACGGCCCAGAAUCCUACGGGGGGCAGGAGUGGGGAAUAAUGCACAAUGGGCGCAAGCCUGAUGCCGCAACGCCGCGUGCGGGAUGAAGGCCUUCGGGUUGUAAACCGCUUUCAGCAGGGACGAAGCUUUUUGUGACGGUAACUGCAGAAGAAGCACCGGCUAACUACGUG
rnacentral:rRNA from 1 species